rnacentral:pre_miRNA from 1 species
UAUCAAAAUCUUCAAGAUCUAUAUCGACCAAAAUUAAUAACUAUCCUUCCUUACUUACUUAGGACAUACAUAAUAGUUAUUAAUCUUGGUUGGUUUA